GAGACCGGGGAGGGAGCCCCGAGGAGCAGCGAGCAGCGAGCAGCGAGCAGCACGGGGUGGGACCGGCCAACCGGAUACUCAGAUUGGACCGUUUUUAUAUUCUCUUUUUUAUACGUUUAAACGAUAACACCGGAGUGAACGAGACGCAGAAAGCGACCGUCUGGUUAGGGAGAACUUGCAGGCUUUGAAUCUCGUCGAAACCUCUGGAACUGUCAGAAAAAAAUUGAUUGAGAGUUAAGGUGUGGCUGAGGGUUUCUUUAAGGCUUCUGCACGGAAAAUUGGUACAAAACCGUCUGUUUCUACUCGAGUGUUCAGUGAGGGCUGAGGCUGUUUUUAUAUCCCAAUGGCUUUAUAGAUUAUAUCCAGUCAUUUACAUCUAGGACGAUAUUACAUAACAAACGUAUUGCUAUCCUGACGUGCGCACCUUAUGCUGUAAAUCCAUCGCAGUUGAAUAAUUGGACUAUUACGCAGUAAAUAAGUAAGUCAAGUGUUACUGCUUGGCCGGUCGUUUUGAUUUCAUAAGUUAAAUGCAACGGACGUGGCAACUUUACAGUAGCCGGUCCUGCAGAAUGCCACAAGCAAACUGGGCGUGGGGGAAACGGUCCGAGGAGAGCGUAAUAACCAUCAAAUCUCAUACAAGCAUGGCACAAAUUGCGCAUAUUUGACAUAGUGUAGGCGUUCUUACAAGUGGAGCGGACCAAAGUAAGUGCGACUGUCAAAUUCAUUUUUGCAAACUUUUUAGCGGAGGUGACAUUUGAAGGCCACAGGAGAGGGUGUGCGACGGUGUCAUCUCAAAGCCAUUUGAAUAUGUUGUAUUAAUAUUCCAAUAAUAUGUAUUGUCAGUCUAAACAAAUGAUUUUGAAGGUAUCGUGUUGAUCAGUCGUGGCCUAUCUUUUUUUUCUGUUUGUCUAUGAUACAGUGUAUAUUACUAUACUGGGAUGGGGCGGGUGUGUCUUUCCCGAGGAAAACGUUUAGGCGUUUAAUAAAUCUAAACCCAGCUGAAAAAAGAGUUGGGUCUAUAUUAGCCUACAGUAGUCUGCUCGACUUUACAAAGAACAUCGAGCCGUCGUUCCUCACUCGUUUAUACCACAAUAACUCAAUCAUAAUUGGGUGCACAGGCAAACUGACCCUGUAUAGUCUAAUUAAGAUAAGCUUUAAGUCGAGUAGAUAGGGUGAAUUCCUCAAGGCCCCACCCUUUGUAGCGCAGCAUGGAUGUGGAGAGUUGCCCCCCCCACCACCUCCUCCUCCUCCUCUCUCCCUCCGCGUCAUUCAUUUCCCCUUUCAAGCUUGUCUUAUGCUGUUUUUCCCCUCAGUGUCUCCAGGUGCCCACAGUAGAUCUUCUGGUCUUUAAACCAACUUUAGAUCACCGCAUCAGGAUCUACCUUCAGGAAUCAACAGAGGUGUAAAUUGACUUAGAUGUGCUACACCUGUGCCACUAAACCUGGGUGGCUUGUACCUGUACCAUCUGCUGUGCCAGCUGUGCAGGGAGAGCACGCAUAACAACAUCAGAGAAAGAGAUAAACAGACAGCUGCUGAAAACAGAGAGACGGAGGAGCGUCAUCAAAGGAGCGCUGAGUCAACCAACACACCAUCAAUCAUGAUAUAUUUAUUGUUCGCUUGGCUGUUUUACAGCAUUUAAAAUUCGAAUUUAAGCAAGAUGAUGUAGGAUGCAUUAUUUUUUCGGAUUUAGCGCCCCUACAGUUCCAGAGUGCAGUUCAGUCAUACUCAGUGUCGUAAAUAUGAAGAGCUGUAACGUUAGUGCAUUUGUUGUGAUUAUAUAAGGAUCAGAGACUAUCCAGUCAACAAUUUGUUUAGUACAGCCAAGCAUAGUGCAAGCGCAACAUCACAAGCCAUAGCAACUCAGCAAAUGUUAUUUCCCUAGCUCCACUCCCAUGUAUAUUAUUAUCUGUUUGUUGCAGUCCGUGUAAAACAUGCCUUUUAAUUACAAAUCAUUGUGCUUUUGUCUUUAUUCAUGUUCAGCUUUCUCAAAUAAACAACUUAUUGAUAUCCAUUCCUACAACAA